rnacentral:rRNA from 1 species
AUGGCUGGAUCAUUCGCCCUCAACACAGGCGCAAGCAUCCCAUCAGUUGGUCUCGGCACAUGGCAGAUAAAACCUGAGGUCGUCGGCGACACCAUCUACGCCGCUGUCAAGGCUGGAUAUCGCCAUAUUGAUUGUGCUCCAGCAUACAGCAAUGAGACAGAGGUCGGCUUGGCUUUGAAGAAAUUAUUUGAAGAUGGUGUGGCUAAGCGUGAAGAAUUGUUUAUCACCUCUAAGCUAUGGUCCGGUAAUCAUGCACCGGAAGAUGUGCCAGAGGCAAUUGACACUACUCUGAAAGACUUGCAGCUUGACUACUUAGAUUUGUUCCUUAUCCAUGGUCCAAUCCGUAUCAGGAAAGGAACCACGCACAUCCCUGAAAAUUUGAUCCCAACUGACAUCCCUGCUACAUGGGGGGCCAUGGAAAAGCUAUACGACUCCGGCAAAGCUCGAGCAAUUGGCGUGAGUAACUUUACUUGCAAGAAGAUGGAGGACUUGCUCGCCGUUGCACGCGUGCCUCCAGCAGUCAACCAGGUUGAGUGCCACCUGAUCUGGCAGCAAGCCAAGCUCCGUGAACUAUGCCAGUCAAGGGGUGUUCAUCUUUCUGCACAUUCACCAUUAGGUGAGGCUAGUGUCCUUAGCAACCCUGUUGUCAUCUCUGUUGCCGAGAAGUUGCAGAAAACGCCUGCGCAGGUCGCCUUGCGCUGGAGUCUUCAAAUGGGUCAGAGUGUACUUCCAAAAAGCACCAAUGAAGCAAGGAUUAAGGAGAACUUUGACAUAUUUGAUUGGUCCAUUCCCAAAGAUUUGAUGGCGGAGCUCUCCGGUAUCAAGCAGGAAAGGUUGCUGAAAGCAGAAUUCGCAGUUCACCCGCUAAGCAUUUACAAAACCUUGGAGGACCUUUGGGAUGGCGAAAUUUAA